ACAACCAUUUGAUAUCUAUCAUUUUUUUUUUUUUUUUUUUAUUAACCCCUAUUCCAACAACUCCCCGGGCUGGAGGCGCCUCCCAUGUGGCCCUUCACUUAAGGCUCCAGGCCCUUAGCGUUAGCUCGGUCAGUCUGGUCACGGCCGGAGUGGUUGUUCCGCAAAGUUCCAAUCAGAGAGCAGCACUGCUCAAAUAGAACUCCCAGGAGGUAACAGCGUGUCACACAUGUGAUGUCAUAACCAUUGUCCACCAGAGAGCAGCACUGAGCAGAUAUAACACUGCUCCUGCUCAUUCUCCAUCAGUGAGGGGCCGGUGCUGGACACUGUAGGGACGCGGGAAUGUGAAGUCAAAAACAUGACUGUGACUGAUGCAUUAUUUCCAGCAUGUGGAGUAGCAUUUCCGGACUUAAAGCAAGAAGUUGGAUGAUGGCCUAGAUUUCCGGACCUACAGCAAGACGUUGGAUGAAGGCCUAGAUUUCCGGACCUACAGCAAGAAGUUGGAUGAAGGCACAGCCCCUCGAAUCACGAACAUACACAGACACAUUGGCCCAAAUUCUAGAGGUAACCUCCUUUAGUAUGCCCAGAGGAAGGGCAAUACAGUAGCCAUGGAUUCCCUACAGGUUUCCUCCCCUCUGGAGGUUUUUCCUGUCCUGAGUUAGUUACUGUACGCUCUUUGUGAGUGAUGGGAGGUUACAAAAAAUCCCUACACAAACACUUUUAUAAAUAAUAAAUAAAGUUCCCCUUUUUUUAAACUGUUCUUUAACUUGUUCGACUCAUUUAUUUUAUUUCUGUGUGUGAAAAACAGUGUUAGCAAAAUGUAAAUGACAUGAGUUUUUUUUUCUUUUUUUUAAGUGUCUAAAGCUGCUCGAUCUGCACAAUGCGGAGCCGAGAGAGGCAACUGGUGUUGGGUGGU